ACAAUUAGCGGAAAAAAUUCCCUCCCAAACAAUUUCUCCCUAACACUCCAUUGCAACUUUUCCAUCUCCUUAGUCAGUGCUUUCUACCGAGAGUGUCCUCUCGUCGCCUCCAACCUCCGACGCCGUUGCUGCCGCCAACCUCUGCCGCCAUCGCCGCCUCCCUCCUCUACAGCCGUGAAUAAGUCAGUAAACUUGGUUUUGAAAAAUUGAAGCCUUUAAUCUCUGAGGAUGGAGUCCCCAAAGCACGCGGUCACGUUCUAGGCGGAAGCAGCGCCAUAAACGUCGGUUUCUAUAGCAAAGCCGAUGAUGUUUCGGCCGGAGCUCAAGAGUGGACAAUCAGCGAUAUAUUGUUGUUGUGGGAGUCUACGCUCAUAUCUGCUGCUGUUGUGGGAGUACGCUCACAUCUACUCCUUUUAUUAUAUCUACAACGGAACUAGCGACGGAGGGAUAGAGGAGGUGGCGGCGGAGUUGGAAAUCGGCCGGUUUGUGCCCAUAUUUCUUCAUCACUCCACCCUGCCACUCACAAUCGACGAAGUAAGCUUAAAACUAUCAUCUUUUUUUGCUUUUGUUGCUCUUGUAAAAUUUUUUAAAGUAACUUUUGGUGGAUUUUGUGAAUUUAUGCAUAUUCUUUCAAAUAAAAUCAUUUAGUGAUUUUAGUUUUUUACCUCUGUAAUUCGAUGGUAAGGCUGGUUAAGCUAAGAUUAUGUGUUUGGGAACAUGGUGAAAAUGAUGGAUUAUCCAGAAUCUUGAACCAAUCAGGAUAGAGUUGGCCA